rnacentral:rRNA from 1 species
GACAUCAGGUGGUGUUUCAGAGGUUCGACUGGGUACUGACGAACGCUGGCGGGAUGCUUUACGCAAGUCGAACGGCAGCACUAGACUUCGGUCUUAAAAGAAAGGGCGAACGUGGGUGAGUAAUGUAUUUGAACGUGCCCAGGCGGGGAUGUUAGGUUCACGCGAAGCGUAGCUAAUACCGCAUACGCCCGGGGAAAGCGGGGGACCUUUCGGCCUCUUGCCAUUAGAGCGGCCGAAUGGAUUAGCUAGUUGGUGGGGUAACGGCUCACUCAAGGCGCAUGAUCCAGGCUGGUUUGAGAGGACGACCAGCCAUCGGGACUGGAGACACGCCCGACUCCACGGAGGCAGCAGUGGGUAAUUUUACACAGCGUAAACCCUGAUCCAGCCAUCCUGGGCGUAGCGAUGCGAAGGCCUUUCGGGUUGUAAAGUAACUUUUGAGCAGAAGAAACGGCACGGGAUAAUACCCGCAAACUGAUUGUACCUGCAGAAUAAGCACCGCUAACUACGCCAGCAGCCGCGGUAAUACGUAGGGCGUAAGCGUUAAUCGGAAUUACGGGCAAAGAAGUGCGGGCAGGCGGUUCGGAAAAGAAGAUGAAACUUGUUUAACUUUGGAACUGCAUUUUUAAUCAUCAUUGAGCAGAGUGCUGAGGAGGUGGAACGCGGUAGUAGUAAAUGCGUAGAUAUGCGGAGGAACACCGAUGGCGAAGGUGAAGCCCGGCUACCACCGACGCCCAUAAUUUAUGCCGGGAGCAAACAGGAUUAGAUACCCUGUAGUCCACGCCCCAAACGAUGUCAACUAGCUGUUGGGGCUCUCGGGCCUUGGUAAAGCAGCUAACGGUGAAGUUGACCGCCCGUAGUACACAAAGAUUAAAACUCAAAGAAAAUUGACGGGACCCGCAACAAGCGGUGGAUGAUGUGAUUAAUUCGAUGCAACGCGAAAACUUACCUACUCCUCGACAUGCUCAAAUCCAAGAGAUUUGGGAGUGCUCAAAAGAGAAAUCGGAACACAGGUGCCGUAUGGCUGUCACGAAGCCGCCGUGGAGAUAAGGUUAAGUCUCGCAACGAGCGCAACUUGUCAUUAGCGCACAUGAAAGGGCACUCUAACGAGACUGCCGGUGACAAACCGGAGGAAGGUGGGGAUGACGUCAAGUCCUCAUGGCCCUUAUGGGCAGGGCUUCACACGUCAUACAAUGGUCGGGACAGAGGGUCGCCAACCAUGAGGGGGACACAAUCCCAGAAACCUGAUCGAACGGAUCGCCUGUAACCGACUGCGUGAAUGGAACGCUGGGGUGACCAGAUCAGCAGCGCCGUGAAUACGUUCUCCAGUCUGUGGUACACACUGCCUGUCACACCAUGGGAGUGGGUCACCAGAAGGGAAGCAUUCAACCGUAAGGAGGGCGAUGUACCAUAGAUUCUAUGACUGGGUGGAAGUCGUAACAAGGUAG